UUAAAUUUAUAAAUUAUUUUAUUUUUUUUUUUUGAAAAAAAAUUAAUAAAAAUAUUUUUAAAUUAUAAAAGUUUUUGUAUUUUCUUAGAAAAAAUUUUUUUGAUUAAAUUGAAUUAGUAUUGAAAAAGAAUUUUGAAAAAUUAAAUAUAUUUUAGUGAAAGUAAAUUUUAUUUAUUGUACCUUGUGUAUCAGGGUUUUUUAAAAAUAGAGUAUAAAAUAUAUUUUUCUCGAAUUAAAUUGAUUUAUUUUAUAAUUAUAAUUUUUAUUGUGGUAAAAAUAUUUUUAAUAUAAAAAUAGAAGUGAAAUGUUAAACGAUUUUUAAGAUAUCUAGUUUUUUAAUAAAUGAAUUUAAUUCAGAUAUUAGCUUAAAAAAUUUAUUUUAAAAUAGUAAUUUAGUUAAUAUUAAUAUUUUAUGGGAUAAGCUUUAAAAUAUAAUUUUAUAAUUUUAAAUUUUUUUAUAUCUAUAUAUAGGCUUAGAAAUAGUUUUUAUUUUAAAAAUGUUAUAAUUUAAUUAUAUUUAUUAGUUUAAAAUUUUAUUUUUUUAAUUUAAUUAUUUAUUAAAAUAAAUAAAUAAAUAAAUUUAUUUAUUUGAAAUGAUUAUAAAAUUAGUAAAUUUGAUUGUGUUUUAUUAAAUAAAUUAAUUAAUAAAUUUAUUUUAAGGAAUUCGGCAAAAUUUUAUAUUCACCUGUUUAUCAAAAACAUGUCUUUUUGAAUUUAAUUUAAAGUCUAAUCUGCUCUAUGAUUUAUUAAAUGGCCGCAGUAUUUUGACUGUGCAAAGGUAGCAUAAUAAUUAGUCUUUUAAUUGAAGGCUUGAAUGAAUGAUUGAAUGAAAUAUAAACUGUCUUAAUUUAAUUUUUUGAAUUUAAUUUUUGAGUUAAAAAGCUUAAAUUUUUUUAUAGGACGAGAAGACCCCAUAGAAUUUUAUGUUUAAAUUAAAGUUUUAAUUUAAUUUUAAUUUAAUUUUAAUUUGAAUAUUUUAUUGGGGCGAUAGAAAAAUUGAUUAAACUUUUUUAAUAUUAUUUCAUUAAUUUAUGAAUUAUAGAUCUUAAAUUUUAGAUUAUUAGAAUAAAUUACCUUGGGGAUAACAGCGUAAUUUUUUUUAGAGUUCUUAUUUAUAAAAGAGAUUGUGACCUCGAUGUUGGAUUAAAAUAUAAUUUAGGUGAAGAAGCUUAAAUUUUAAGUCUGUUCGACUUUUAAAAUUUUACAUGAUCUGAGUUCAAACCGGUGUAAGCCAGGUUGGUUUCUAUCCUUAAAUAAUAAAAAAUUUUUAGUACGAAAGGACCAUAAUUUUAUAAUAAUUUGUUUAAAAUUUGAAUUUUAAUAAAUUUGUUGG
rnacentral:rRNA from 1 species